rnacentral:rRNA from 1 species
GACGAACGCUGGCGGCGUGCUUAACACAUGCAAGUCGAACGCUGAAGCGUGGUGCUUGCACUGGUUGGAUUAGUGGCGAACGGGUGAGUAAUACGUGAGUAACCUGCCCUUGACUCUGGGAUAAGCCUGGGAAACUGGAGCUAAUACUGGAUACUACAUUUCACCGCAUGGUUGUGUGUGGAAAGGGUUUUACUGGUUUUGGAUUGGCUCACGGCGUAUCAGCUUGUUGGUGGGGUAAUGGCUCACCAAGGCGACGACGGGUAGCCUGACUGAGAGGGUGACCGACGACACUGAGACUGACGCGAGGCAGAGACUCCGACUGGAGGCAGCAGUGGGGAAUAUUGAACAAUGGACGGCAGGCUGAUGAAGAGACGCUUCGUAAGGGAAAACGGUGUUAGGAGUGAAGAACAUUUGCAGAACGGAAGAAGCAAAAGUGGCGGGACGUGAAGCAGAAGCGCCGGCUAAAUACGUG